rnacentral:tRNA from 1 species
UGGUGCAGUGGUUAGCAUACCUGAUUGCUAAUUAGGAGACCCGGAGUUUGAAUCCCGG